rnacentral:rRNA from 1 species
CCUACGGGUGGCUGCAGUGGGGAAUAUUGCACAAUGGGCGCAAGCCUGAUGCAGCCGUGCCGCGUGUGUGAAGAAGGCCUUCGGGUUGUAAAGCACUUUCAGCGGGGAGGAAGGCGGUGAGGUUAAUAACCUCAUCGAUUGACGUUACCCGCAGAAGAAGCACCGGCUAACUCCGUGCCAGCAGCCGCGGUAAUACGGAGGGUGCAAGCGUUAAUCGGAAUUACUGGGCGUAAAGCGCACGCAGGCGGUCUGUCAAGUCGGAUGUGAAAUCCCCGGGCUCAACCUGGGAACUGCAUUCGAAACUGGCAGGCUAGAGUCGUGUAGAGGGGGGUAGAAUUCCAGGUGUAGCGGUGAAAUGCGUAGAGAUCUGGAGGAAUACCGGUGGCGAAGGCGGCCCCCUGGACAAAGACUGACGCUCAGGUGCGAAAGCGUGGGGAGCAAACAGGAUUAGAUACCCUUGUAGUC